AGCGAACGCUGGCGGCAGGCCUAACACAUGCAAGUCGAACGGAUCCUUCGGGAUUAGUGGCGGACGGGUGAGUAACACGUGGGAACGUGCCCUUUGGUUCGGAACAACUCAGGGAAACUUGAGCUAAUACCGGAUGUGCCCUUCGGGGGAAAGAUUUAUCGCCAUUGGAGCGGCCCGCGUCUGAUUAGCUAGUUGGUGAGGUAAAGGCUCACCAAGGCUACGAUCAGUAGCUGGUCUGAGAGGAUGAUCAGCCACAUUGGGACUGAGACACGGCACAAACUCCUACGGGAGGCAGCAGUGGGGAAUCUUGCGCAAUGGGCGAAAGCCUGACGCAGCCAUGCCGCGUGAAUGAUGAAGGUCUUAGGAUUGUAAAAUUCUUUCACCGGGGACGAUAAUGACGGUACCCGGAGAAGAAGCCCCGGCUAACUUCGUGCCAGCCGCCGCCGUAAGAC
rnacentral:rRNA from 1 species